AGCGGAGCAUGUGGUUUAAUUCGAAGCAACGCGAAGAACCUUACCAGAGCUUGACAUCUCCUGCAUAAUCCGUAAUGGGAUGAAAUCCUUUUAGGACAGGAAGACAGGUGGUGCAUGGUUGUCGUCAGCUCGUGUCGUGAGAUGUUGGGUUAAGUCCCGCAACGAGCGCAACCCUUAUUUUUAGUUGCUACCAUUCAGUUGAGCACUCUAAAGAGACUGCCCGGGUUAACCGGGAGGAAGGUGGGGAUGACGUCAAAUCAUCAUGCCCCUUAUGUCUAGGGCUACACACGUGCUACAAUGGUGAGAACAAAGAGACGCGAGACCGCGAGGUGGAGCAAAUCUCAUAAAACUCAUCCCAGUUCGGAUUGCAGGCUGAAACUCGCCUGCAUGAAGCCGGAGUUGCUAGUAAUCGCGAAUCAGCAUGUCGCGGUGAAUGCGUUCCCGGGUCUUGUACACACCGCCCGUCACACCAUGGAAGUUGAUAAUACCCAAAGUCGAUGAGCUAACCGAAAGGAGGCAGUCGCCUAAGGUAGGAUUAAUGACUGGGGUGAAGUCGUAACAAGGUAGCCGUAUCGGAAGGUGCGGCUGGAUCACCUCCUU
rnacentral:rRNA from 1 species